UAAUUUUGAACAUAAACUGGUAGUCCAUUUUUAUUUUAUUUAUUGAACUUUAAUAGCAUUCUUUAAAGUUCUCGGCAAUCGCUUCUAUUUUUCACUCCAAGUUACAUGUCUGUCAGCAUGAAGCAGCUAAUUCUGUUUCUGACAUGGAAGAGGCUUGCUCUAUUCAGUUGCUUUGCCUUUGCGCCUGCUGCUUCCAGUUCCAGUUUCCAAGAGGUAACAAACCAUUGAAUCAACAUCGUCACCGAAUAUGCUGUAUGCCUCAAUCACCUGCAGAUAGCUGAAUCCCAUAGACAGAACCAUCUGCAUACUGCUGCUCAGGACAGCAUCUUGAGAUCCAUGUUCCUUCAUCCCUUUGUUCUCACUGCCCGAUGAUCCUUUUUCCAAAUUCAUACAAUUAUCGACGACUUAGUAUAAAAGUUCAACUCUCUCUCAAUAGACUGUAAAAGAUAAUGAUCAUCAUUAUAUUUAUCUAACUGUGUUUCCAAGGACUAGGUCAUACGAAGAGGGUGGAAGGACAAAAAGAACAGUAUUUUGCUCCAUGUUACUUGCCCAUAGUUUCAGAAGCUACUGUUUUGAGAUUGAUUUGGAACAGAUCUGUGUACUUACUAGCUCCAGAAGAUGAUGGUUCAGCGCCAGAAGUAGAUUCUUUAUGACCAAGUUGCUGCUUGAACUUGUCAUUGGCAAUAUACUCAGCCCGAGAAGGUUCUAUCCUUUCCGAAUAAAUCCUCAAUUUUUCAUAUAACCAUACAAAAAGUAAAAAUAUAUAUUUUUCUUUUUUUAUCUCCUAAAUAAAUAAUGAUAUAUCCCUUUCAAAAAAAAAAUUAUAUAUAUUUUAUUUGAGAAUUUAUUUUUUAAAAAAUAUAUCAAAUCAAAUCAUACAAAUAUAAAGAAAAAAGAAUAUUAAUAAAAAGAUAUGUACUUUUUCUUUCUUGUAUCUCACUCCUAAAUAAAAUAAUUUCAAUUAUAAUCAAAAUACAAUCAGAUAUUUAAAAAAUAAAAUAUAAUUUUUUUUAAAAUCCCUCAUUAUCAUUUAUAUAUUUAUCAAAAAAUAAAUUUAAAAAGAAUAAAACUUAAAUUUUAAAACACUUAAUUAUCUAUAUAUAUUUAUUUAAAAAAAUAUUUUAAUAAAUUAUAUUCAUUCAAUUCAUAAAAUGUAAUUUUCUAAUUGGUCAUACUAAAAUUAUUUUAGCACAUUCUAAAUUUCAUUAAAGAUAAUAUCGAAAAUCUCAUUACUAGGGUAUCCAUAAAACCACUCACAUGGCUCAAAACAAUUUAAACCAAUCCAAACCGAUUAAAAAUUACUGUUUUAAAAAAGUUGCUAGGCUGGUAGAGGCAUUAAUGUCUUUUUAUCAGUAAUUAACAUCUGAAAUGGAUAAAAUAGACGGAAAAACAAAAAUUUAUACCCGUUGCAAAAUAUGGAAAUAUUGUAUUUUUUUAAAUGCAGAAACAAACAAAUAAUUUAAAUAAUAAUUUUUCUUUAAUAUAAUUAUGAAAGUAAGGUAACCCAACUGAAACCCGAUAAAACAUCGAAAAGCCUCCUAUGAGUUGGGGACAUUUUGCCAUCUCUACCUUUUCUCGGCUAUAAAAUGCAUGCACAGCCACACAAUAUUUCAUGUAUUAUUGAGCACUGAAAAUUGAACAUUUGAUUCAAAAGAUAAUUUUGAACAUAAACUGGUAGUCCAUUUUUAUUUUAUUUAUUGAACUUUAAUAGCAUUCUUUAAAGUUCUCGGCAAUCGCUUCUAUUUUUCACUCCAAGUUACAUGUCUGUCAGCAUGAAGCAGCUAAUUCUGUUUCUGACAUGGAAGAGGCUUGCUCUAUUCAGUUGCUUUGCCUUUGCGCCUGCUGCUUCCAGUUCCAGUUUCCAAGAGGUAACAAACCAUUGAAUCAACAUCGUCACCGAAUAUGCUGUAUGCCUCAAUCACCUGCAGAUAGCUGAAUCCCAUAGACAGAACCAUCUGCAUACUGCUGCUCAGGACAGCAUCUUGAGAUCCAUGUUCCUUCAUCCCUUUGUUCUCAC
rnacentral:lncRNA from 1 species